UACGUAGGGUGCGAGCGUUGUCCGGAAUUAUUGGGCGUAAAGGGCUCGUAGGCGGUCUGUUGCGUCAGGAGUGAAAACUCGGGGCUUAACCCCGAGCCUGCUUCUGAUACGGGCAGACUAGAGGUAUGCAGGGGAGAACGGAAUUCCUGGUGUAGCAGUGAAAUGCGCAGAUAUCAGGAGGAACACCGGUGGCGAAGGCGGUUCUCUGGGCAUUACCUGACGCUGAGGAGCGAAAGUGUGGGGAGCGAACAGG
rnacentral:rRNA from 1 species